rnacentral:rRNA from 1 species
GAACGGGUGAGUAACACGUAAAGAACCUGCCUCAUAGACUGGGACAACUAUUGGAAACGAUAGCUAAUACCGGAUAACAGCAUUAACUGCAUGGUUGAUGUUUAAAAGUUGGUUUUGCUAACACUAUGAGAUGGCUUUGCGGUGCAUUAGCUAGUUGGUGGGGUAAAGGCCUACCAAGGCGACGAUGCAUAGCCGACCUGAGAGGGUGAUCGGCCACACUGGGACUGAGACACGGCCCAGACUCCUACGGGAGGCAGCAGUAGGGAAUCUUCCGCAAUGGGCGAAAGCCUGACGGAGCAACGCCGCGUGAGUGAAGAAGGAUUUCGGUUCGUAAAGCUCUGUUGUUAGGGAAGAAUGAUUGUGUAGUAACUAUACACAGUAGAGACG